rnacentral:rRNA from 1 species
GACGAACGCUGGCGGCGUGCCUAAUACAUGCAAGUAGAACGCACAGUUUAUACCUUAGCUUGCUACACCAUGGACUGUGAGUUGCGAACGGGUUAGUAACGCGUAGGUAACCUGCCUGGUAGCGGGGGAUAACUAUUGCAAACGGUAGCUAAUACCUCAUAAUAUUAAUUAUUGCAUGAUAAUUAAUUGAAAGUUGCAAUUGCACCACUACCAGAUGGACCUGCGUUGUAUUAGCUAGUAGGUGAGGUAACGGCUAAGCUAGGCGACGAUACAUAGCAGCCUGGAGAGGUUGAUCGGCCCAGCUGGGACUGAGACACGACACAGAACACUACGGGCGGCAGCAGGAGGGAACGUUCGGGAAUGGGAGAAAGUCUGAACCAGAAACGCAGAGUGAGUGAAGAAGGUAUCCGGAUCGUAAAGAUCUGUUGUAAGAGAAGAACGGGUGUGAGCGUGGAAAGUUAACACUGUGACGGUACCUUAAAAGAAAGCGACGGCUAACUCCGUG